ensembl:snoRNA SNORA62 Small nucleolar RNA SNORA62/SNORA6 family
CAUGCACACUAUUAAAACUCAACACUGUUGUCAGUGUUUGAGUGUCGGAAGUGUGCUAUAGUAACUCGGCCGGGAUUUCGCUAACACCAUGAGGGCUUUGCCCCAUGACUGGGGUUUGAUAGUAACCUGAGCCACAAUG